CAGAUUACGCAGCUAAAUUUCAAGUGCUGAAGUUUGUUACGAUUUCUUCAUUUUUUUCGGUUUCUGCAUCAAUGCAUGUAAGUGCUCGCUGUAGCUUCCCCGGAUCGAACAUCACAACCUCAGCCAUAUAUGUGGCAGUCAACAGGAUCCUCAUGCUGCUGAAGAUUUGCCUCAAUACAUUCAUAUCAAUCAAAAUGAUUUUUUUAUGCGAAGAUACUCAAUUGAGAAAAUUCCUUUAUAUGACUCUGCGGAGGAUGAACUCACGUCAAAUGUUGGUGGACAGAGUGAACAAUCCAUGGCUAUUAUACUGAAAGUUGAAGAACCAUCGGAGUCCACUGUUUUAAAUAUUCAACCACUGAAUUCAAUUGGGAUCAAUGGAUUAGGUAUUCAGAAAAUGAAAACUGAAAUAGAAAGCGAGGACAUGAGGUUGUACUCCCAAGAUACCAAACAGGAUCUUCCCCAAAAAAAUGCAAUGAUAUCGCGCAUUCGAAGUAACACUGCAGGAGGAAAGUCCAUCUCUACCAAAAGAUCAAAGGGGGGAAAAGCUUAAAAAUCGCUUACAGAAGAAAAUUGAUGCAAAGUAUGCAGCUGGCCUUUUAGCAUCAAAGGAAGCACAGGAGGAGAUUUUAGAUUAUGAGAAAAGAAAAUAUGACGCUACUGAAGCCCUUGAUUCCUUAUACAAUGAAAUAUGGCCUGCCAUUGAAGAACACGAGAAGGAUACCCAAGACAGUGUAUCUACGACAGUAGUAGCAGAGAAGUGGAUACAGGCUUCCUGCCUAAAACUCAAGGCAGAGUUUGAUCUUUACUCGUCAAUUAUUAAAAAUGUUGCUUGUACUGCUCAAAGGGAACCCGGCCAAGCAAAAGGUACUGAAGUCGAUAACGAAGACAAAAUGAAGCUUUUGAUGUUCUCAACUUCAUCUAAUCCGUAAUUGAUGAUUCACAGAAUACAUGGACAUGUCUGAGAACAUUUUUAUUUUUUCCGAAGUUCAUAACAGAACCUAGGACCUGAUAAACAAAUCCAAAAUCUUUGUCUGUUAUUUUGCCAUGUUAUGCUACCUAGUCCACCAGCACUUGCAGUUUGUCAACUGGAGAAGUUGUCUAA